rnacentral:rRNA from 1 species
AUUGAACGCUAGCGGCAGGCUUAACACAUGCAAGUCGAGGGGUAUGCCGAUUUAUCGGCAGAGACCGGCGCACGGGUGCGUAACGCGUAUGCAAUCUACCUUUCACAGAGGGAUAGCCCAGAGAAAUUUGGAUUAAUACCUCAUAGUAUAGCAGUUUCGCAUGAAACCACUAUUAAAGUUCCAACGGUGAAAGAUGAGCAUGCGUCCCAUUAGCUAGAUGGUAAGGUAACGGCUUACCAUGGCUACGAUGGGUAGGGGUCCUGAGGAGGGAGACUCCCCCCACACUGGUACUGAGACACGGACCAGACUCCGUACGGGAGGCAGCAGUGAGGAAUAUUGGACAAUGGGCG